AGAGUUUGAUCAUGGCUCAGAUUGAACGCUGGCGGUAGGCUUAACACAUGCAAGUCGAGCGGAAACGAAGAAAAGCUUGCUUUUCAGGCGUCGAGCGGCGGACGGGUGAGUAACGCGUAGGAAUCUGCCUAGUAGUGGGGGACAACCUGUGGAAACGCAGGCUAAUACCGCAUAAUCCCUGAGGGGGAAAGGAGGGGAUCUUCGGACCUUUCGCUAUUAGAUGAGCCUGCGUGAGAUUAGCUAGUUGGUGAGGUAAAGGCUCACCAAGGCGACGAUCUCUAGCUGGUCUGAGAGGAUGAUCAGCCACACUGGGACUGAGACACGGCCCAGACUCCUACGGGAGGCAGCAGUGGGGAAUAUUGGACAAUGGGCGCAAGCCUGAUCCAGCCAUACCGCGUGUGUGAAGAAGGCCUUAGGGUUGUAAAGCACUUUCAGAAGGGAGGAAAGGUUGAUGUUUAAUACGCAUUAGCUGUGACGUACNUCAG
rnacentral:rRNA from 1 species